GAGUAUGAGUAAUUUCUGGUAAUCCUUAUGUGGUAACAGAUUGCCUCUAAAAAUACAAUUUAUGCAGUGCUCACUGUGUGCUGAACAUUCAAGCAGAUGCUGCGCACAUCUAAAACAAAUCCACAAGUGUUCCUGCAGGCUGUGUGUGGGCCCAGCCCUGGGGCAAGAUGCUGGGCGAAAAUGGAAAUCUCACUAGCCACUGAAUCUUCCUCAAGGACCUCCUGUAUGUUGGGGAAACAACAUACACACUUGAAAUAAGACAUGAUGCCUGCUGUUGAAGAAUUUAUAACCAAAUUGGCAAGAUGAGCUGCUAAUCCUUGAAGAAGAUAUGGGAGGUCAGGAUCAGAAAAGAAAAAGAUCAAUAUGGACCAGACUGGCAUGAUCUAAGAAGGCUGUGCGGAGCAAGCAGGACACUGAAACAGCCUUGAAUUGAGAAAGGCUUGGGCAAUCAGCAAGCUUGAAAAUGUAAAGACAGGAAUAUGCAUGCAUACAACAGUGACAAGAAUACUACUGGCUGAACUUACCUUUUCAUGGUUCUGAGAGCCAGAAAAGGGAACUUGGACUUGAGUCCAAAAAUAAUGGAAGGUUCUCCAAGCAAAACAAAAGUUAUAAAACUACUAAUAUUUGUAUGCGGUCUUAGAAAAAUGUCACAUGCAUUUCUAUUGAUAUUCCUUGUCCUCACCACUUGAGAUUGUUAUGUCUGUGUUAGAAGGAGGAAAUUGAGGUUUAGGGAGUUUUAGGGCUUGCUCCACUGACCCAGUGACUAUAGGGAGAGGCCAGUUUAGCUAGGAUCAGCACAGAUGGGUGUUCAAGAGCAGGCACUCUGGAGCCAGCAUGCCCCCGUUUGAAACCCAGCUCUGCCACUUACUAGCUGUGUGACACUGAGCCAGUCAUUUAACUUCUCCAGGGCUCAGUUUUCUCAUCUGAAACAAAGAGACAAUGAUUAUAUAUAACUCAGAGUGUGGUUGUGAGUAUCAGUGAGUUAAUACUUAAAAAAUAACAUAUAUUUGUUGUACAAUAAAAGGUGCCAAAGAGAUAAUUUGAAACGAGUUAUGACUGAGUUUUUACCCACAUCCUGUCCACUCCAUCACUGAGUUUCACUGGAUAAACAGAGACGCAUUGAGUUGUCUGGCUGAAAGAGUGAUCUGAACAUUUGGGCAGAGAGGAGGCUGAGUUCUAGGAAGCUGCUAUGGUAGUUCAGGGAUAAGAAAACGAACCCCUGCGAUUAGGGAAAUGAAGAGAAGAUAGAGGAAACCCUGCUUCUAUGUUCAACCACAGGCUAUCCACAAGCUGGGAGGACAGAUUGAUUUCUUUUUCUCUUUUCUUUAUGCAUCUUUCUGUUCUUAUUUAACAUUACAUCUCAAAGAUCUUUCCAUAUCAGCAUAAACAGAACUAUUGCUUUUUAAUAGCAGCUUUUCUUUUUUUCUUCUUUCCUUCAUUCUUUUCUAUUUAUAAUUGACAGACAAUAAUUGUACAUAUUUAUGGCGUAGAGCGUGCUGUUUCAACACAUGUAUACAUUGUAUAAUGAUCGAAUCAGGAUAGAUUGCAUAUCCAUCACUUUAAACAUUAAUUUCUUUGUAGUGAUGACAUUCAAAAUCCUCUCUUCUGCCUCUCUUGAAAUAUAUACUGAAUUGUUAUUAGCUAUAGUCACCUUACUGUCUAAUAAAGCACCAGA
rnacentral:lncRNA from 1 species